rnacentral:rRNA from 1 species
GUGACUGCGUACCUUUUGUAUAAUGGGUCAGCGACUUAUAUUCUGUAGCAAGGUUAACCGUAUAGGGGAGCCGAAGGGAAACCGAGUCUUAACUGGGCGUUAAGUUGCAGGGUAUAGACCCGAAACCCGGUGAUCUAGCCAUGGGCAGGUUGAAGGUUGGGUAACACUAACUGGAGGACCGAACCGACUAAUGUUGAAAAAUUAGCGGAUGACCUGUGGCUGGGGGUGAAAGGCCAAUCAAACCGGGAGAUAGCUGGUUCUCCCCGAAAGCUAUUUAGGUAGCGCCUCGUGAACUCAUCUUCGGGGGUAGAGCACUGUUUCGGCUAGGGGGCCAUCCCGGCUUACCAACCCGAUGCAAACUACGAAUACCGAAGAAUGUUAUCACGGGAGACACACGGCGGGUGCUAACGUCCGUCGUGAAGAGGGAAACAACCCAGACCGCCAGCUAAGGUCCCAAAGUCAUGGUUAAGUGGGAAACGAUGUGGGAAGGCACAGACAGCCAGGAUGUUGGCUUAGAAGCAGCCAUCAUUUAAAGAAAGCGUAAUAGCUCACUGGUCGAGUCGGCCUGCGCGGAAGAUGUAACGGGGCUAAACCAUGCACCGAAGCUGCGGCAGCGACACUAUGUGUUGUUGGGUAGGGGAGCGUUCUGUAAGCCGUUGAAGGUGUGCUGUGAGGCAUGCUGGAGGUAUCAGAAGUGCGAAUGCUGACAUAAGUAACGAUAAAGCGGGUGAAAAGCCCGCUCGCCGGAAGACCAAGGGUUCCUGUCCAACGUUAAUCGGGGCAGGGUGAGUCGACCCCUAAGGCGAGGCCGAAAGGCGUAGUCGAUGGGAAACAGGUUAAUAUUCCUGUACUUGGUGUUACUGCGAAGGGGGGACGGAGAAGGCUAUGUCAGCCGGGCGACGGUUGUCCCGGUUUAAGCAUGUAGGCGGAGGUUCCAGGUAAAUCCGGUACCUUGUUAACGCUGAGGUGUGAUGACGAGGCACUACGGUGCUGAAGUGAUAAAUGCCCUGCUUCCAGGAAAAGCCUCUAAGCAUCAGGUAACACGAAAUCGUACCCCAAACCGACACAGGUGGUCAGGUAGAGAAUACCAAGGCGCUUGAGAGAACUCGGGUGAAGGAACUAGGCAAAAUGGUGCCGUAACUUCGGGAGAAGGCACGCUGAUAUGUAGGUGAAGUCCCUGCGGACGGAGCUGAAAUCAGUCGAAGAUACCAGCUGGCUGCAACUGUUUAUUAAAAACACAGCACUGUGCAAACACGAAAGUGGACGUAUACGGUGUGACGCCUGCCCGGUGCCGGAAGGUUAAUUGAUGGGGUCAGCGGCAACGCGAAGCUCUUGAUCGAAGCCCCGGUAAACGGCGGCCGUAACUAUAACGGUCCUAAGGUAGCGAAAUUCCUUGUCGGGUAAGUUCCGACCUGCACGAAUGGCGUAAUGAUGGCCAGGCUGUCUCCACCCGAGACUCAGUGAAAUUGAACUCGCUGUGAAGAUGCAGUGUACCCGCGGCAAGACGGAAAGACCCCGUGAACCUUUACUAUAGCUUGACACUGAACACUGGUCCUUGAUGUGUAGGAUAGGUGGGAGGCUUUGAAGCGUGGACGCCAGUCUGCGUGGAGCCAUCCUUGAAAUACCACCCUUUAAUGGCUGGUGUUCUAACGUAGACCCGUGAUCCGGGUUGCGGACAGUGUCUGGUGGGUAGUUUGACUGGGGCGGUCUCCUCCCAAAGAGUAACGGAGGAGCACGAAGGUUGGCUAAUCCUGGUCGGACAUCAGGAGGUUAGUGCAAUGGCAUAAGCCAGCUUGACUGCGAGCGUGACGGCGCGAGCAGGUGCGAAAGCAGGUCAUAGUGAUCCGGUGGUUCUGAAUGGAAGGGCCAUCGCUCAACGGAUAAAAGGUACUCCGGGGAUAACAGGCUGAUACCGCCCAAGAGUUCAUAUCGACGGCGGUGUUUGGCACCUCGAUGUCGGCUCAUCACAUCCUGGGGCUGAAGUAGGUCCCAAGGGUAUGGCUGUUCGCCAUUUAAAGUGGUACGCGAGCUGGGUUUAGAACGUCGUGAGACAGUUCGGUCCCUAUCUGCCGUGGGCGCUGGAGAAUUGAGGGGGGCUGCUCCUAGUACGAGAGGACCGGAGUGGACGCAUCACUGGUGUUCGGGUUGUCAUGCCAAUGGCACUGCCCGGUAGCUAAAUGCGGAAGAGAUAAGUGCUGAAAGCAUCUAAGCACGAAACUUGCCCCGAGAUGAGUUCUCCCUGAGACUUUAAGUCUCCUGAAGGAACGUUGAAGACGACGACGUUGAUAGGUCGGGUGUGUAAGCGCAGCGAUGCGUUGAGCUAACCGAUACUAAUGAACCGUGAGGCUUAACCUU